rnacentral:rRNA from 1 species
AGUCGACGGUAACAGGAAGCAGCUUGCUGCUUCGCUGACGAGUGGCGGACGGGUGAGUAAUGUCUGGGAAACUGCCUGAUGGAGGGGGAUAACUACUGGAAACGGUAGCUAAUACCGCAUAACGUCGCAAGACCAAAGAGGGGGACCUUCGGGCCUCUUGCCAUCGGAUGUGCCCAGAUGGGAUUAGCUAGUAGGUGGGGUAACGGCUCACCUAGGCGACGAUCCCUAGCUGGUCUGAGAGGAUGACCAGCCACACUGGAACUGAGACACGGUCCAGACUCCUACGGGAGGCAGCAGUGGGGAAUAUUGCACAAUGGGCGCAAGCCUGAUGCAGCCAUGCCGCGUGUAUGAAGAAGGCCUUCGGGUUGUAAAGUACUUUCAGCGGGGAGGAAGGGAGUAAAGUUAAUACCUUUGCUCAUUGACGUUACCCGCAGA